rnacentral:rRNA from 1 species
AUUGAACGCUGGCGGCAUGCCUAACACAUGCAAGUCGAGCGGAAGCACGGGUGCUUCCCCUUGGUGCCGAGUGGGGCGGGGGUGUGAGUCACAUGAGGAUAUCUCCUAUAUUGGGCUAGAGUCCGUCGAAGGCCGCUGUGAUACCACAUGCUAUUAUCGUGAAAAAGCUGGUUCCCUGGUGCCCGCGCGUUCUGCUGUUACUCGUUGGUGGAUCCGGGCGGGAUUAGCUAGUUGGUGGGGUAAAGGCCUACCAAGGCGACGAUCCGUAGCUGGUCUGAGAGGAGGAUCAGCCACACUGGAACUGAGACACGGUCCAGACUCCUACGGGAGGCAGCAGUGGGGAAUUUUGGACAAUGGGCGAAAGCCUGAUCCAGCAAUGCCGCGUGUGUGAAGAAGGUCUUCGGAUUGUAAAGCACUUUUAGUCGGGAAGAAAUGCUGGGACCUAAUACGGUCGGGGGUUGACGGUACCGAAAGAAUAAGCACCGGCUAACUACGUG